rnacentral:rRNA from 1 species
GACGAACGCUGGCGGCGUGCCUAAUACAUGCAAGUCGAACGCUUCUUUCCUCCCGAGUGCUUGCACUCAAUUGGAAAGAGGAGUGGCGGACGGGUGAGUAACACGUGGGUAACCUACCCAUCAGAGGGGGAUAACACUUGGAAACAGGUGCUAAUACCGCAUAACGGUUUAUGCCGCAUGGCAUAAGAGUGAAAGGCGCUUUCGGGUGUCGCUGAUGGAUGGACCCGCGGUGCAUUAGCUAGUUGGUGAGGUAACGGCUCACCAAGGCCACGAUGCAUAGCCGACCUGAGAGGGUGAUCGGCCACACUGGGACUGAGACACGGCCCAGACUCCUACGGGAGGCAGCAGUAGGGAAUCUUCGGCAAUGGACGAAAGUCUGACCGAGCAACGCCGCGUGAGUGAAGAAGGUUUUCGGAUCGUAAAACUCUGUUGUUAGAGAAGAACAAGGACGUUAGUAACUGAACGUCCCCUGACGGUAUCUAACCAGAAAGCCACGGCUAACUACGUG